GUGAGGAAUAUUGGUCAAUGGGCGAGAGCCUGAACCAGCCAAGUCGCGUGAAGGAAGAAGGAUCUAUGGUUCGUAAACUUCUUUUGCAGGGGAAUAAAGUGCAGGACGUGUCCUGUUUUGUAUGUACCCUGAGAAUAAGGAUCGGCUAACUCCGUGCCAGCAGCCGCGGUAAUACGGAGGAUCCGAGCGUUAUCCGGAUUUAUUGGGUUUAAAGGGUGCGUAGGUGGUUUGAUAAGUCAGCGGUGAAAGUUUGCAGCUUAACUGUAAAAAUGCCGUUGAAACUGUCGGACUUGAGUGUAAAUGAGGUAGGCGGAAUGCGUGGUGUAGCGGUGAAAUGCAUAGAUAUCACGCAGAACUCCGAUUGCGAAGGCAGCUUACUAAGCUACAACUGACACUGAAGCACGAAAUCGUGGGGAUCAAACAGGAUUAGAUACCCUAGUAGUCC
rnacentral:rRNA from 1 species